CCUACGGGAGGCAGCAGUGGGGAAUAUUGGACAAUGGGCGAAAGCCUGAUCCAGCAAUUCCGCGUGUGUGAAGAAGGCCUUCGGGUUGUAAAGCACUUUAGUGGGGGAAGAAACAGCUUGGCCACACCAAGCCUUGACGGUACCCCAAGAAUAAGCACCGGCUAACUCUGUGCCAGCAGCCGCGGUAAUACAGAGGGUGCAAGCGUUAAUCGGAUUUACUGGGCGUAAAGGGUGCGUAGGUGGCUAUUUAAGUCGGAUGUGAAAGCCCGGGGCUCAACCUCGGAAUUGCAUUCGAUACUGAGUGGCUAGAGUUCGGUAGAGGGCGGCGGAAUUUCCGGUGUAGCGGUGAAAUGCGUAGAUAUCGGAAGGAACAUCAAUGGCGAAGGCAGCCGCCUGGGCCUGGACUGACACUGAGGCACGAAAGCGUGGGUAGCAAACAGGAUUAGAUACCCUGGUAGUCCACGCCGUAAACGAUGAGAACUUGACGUUGGUUCGUUUUACGAAUCGGUGCCGCAGCUAACGCGAUAAGUUCUCCGCCUGGGGAGACGGCGCGAGUAGAACGUAACGUAAGAAGUUAGUUAGUCGUUGAGAGNGCGACGACGACGACGAGGAGGAGG
rnacentral:rRNA from 1 species